rnacentral:rRNA from 1 species
CAGUCGCCGCGGUAAUACGGAGGAUCCAAGCGUUAUCCGGAAUCAUUGGGUCUAAAGGGUCCGUAGGCGGUCUUGUAAGUCAGUGGUGAAAGCCCAUCGCUCAACGGUGGAACGGCCAUUGAUACUGCAGGACUUGAAUUAUUGGGAAGUAACUAGAAUAUGUAGUGUAGCGGUGAAAUGCUUAGAGAUUACAUGGAAUACCAAUUGCGAAGGCAGGUUACUACCAAUUGAUUGACGCUGAUGGACGAAAGCGUGGGUAGCGAACAGGAUUAGAUACCCCUGUAGUCCCUGUCUCUUAUAC